UCAACAUUAUCUUCUAAGCUCUACACA
rnacentral:piRNA from 1 species